rnacentral:rRNA from 1 species
ACAAGCAGUGGAGUAUGUGGUUUAAUUCGAAGCAACGCGAAGAACCUUACCAGGGCUUGACAUCCCUUGAAGCAGCUAGAGAUAGCUGUGUCCUUCGGGACAAGGAGACAGGUGGUGCAUGGUUGUCGUCAGCCCGUGUCGUGAGAUGUUGGGUUAAGUCCCGCAACGAGCGCAACCCCUGUGGUUAGUUGCCAGCAAGUAGCGUUGGGCACUCUAGCCAGACUGCCGGUGAUAAAUCGGAGGAAGGUGGGGACGACGUCAAAUCAUCAUGCCCUUUAUGUCCUGGGCUACACACGUACUACAAUGGCCGUUACAACGGGAAGCGAAGGAGCAAUCCGGAGCAAAUCCCUUAAAGGCGGUCCCAGUUCAGAUUGUGGGCUGAAACUCGCCCACAUGAAGGCGGAAUUGCUAGUAAUUGCAGAUCAGCAUGCUGCAGUGAAUACGUUCCCGGGCCUU